UACGGAGGGUGCAAACGUUGCUCGGAAUCAUUGGGCGUAAAGCGCACGUAGGCGGCCUGUUAAGUCGGGUGUGAAAGCCCGGGGCUCAACCCCGGGUCGGCCGUGCGAACUGCAGAGCUGGAGCACUGUAGAGGCAGGUGGAAUUCCGGGUGUAGCGGUGGAAUGCGUAGAGAUCCGGAAGAACACCGGUGGCGAAGGCGGCCUGCUGGGCAGUGGCUGACGCUGAGGCGCGACAGCGUGGGGAGCAAACAGG
rnacentral:rRNA from 1 species